CCCAUCGCAACCCGCGUGUCUGUGUCGCCCUCCUCCUCGCAGCCGCUUUGUCAUUUCAAACACGCAACCUCGAGCAGAGUCGAGCAAGAGAGAGAGAGAGAGAGAGAGAGAGAGAGAGAGAGAGAGCUCCGCCUCGCCGCUCGAUCCAGUGUUUUGGUGGUGACUCGUCCGCUUUCUUCAUCGUGCUGCCCCGCUUCCUCCGCCUCCCUUCUGUUCCUGCCGGCGGGAUCUGUGGCAUCUCUCGGCCCCGCACUGACCCGUCCCCAUUUCCGCCGCUAGCGAUUUUGUUCGUCGGAUUCGGUUUUCCCCCCUCCCUUUUUGUUGUUCCUAUGAUGUGUUAGGUAGGGAGUUGGUUUUGUCUGUCAGCCCCCGCAGCUUUUCUCUGUGUAGAUUCAUUAGGUUGCGCCGUUUCUAGGAUGUGUUUGAUUGUUCUACUAAGCGCUGUAGCUGCGGUAGAUGGGAUGUGCGUCAGUUUGAUCUGCUGAUCUGUAAUUGAUUGGUUGUUGGAAUUCGAGCUGUUCAUGUGAGGCUGGCUUGCUUAGUUGUAGUAGUCUGGUGUAUUCAGUCAAUUCGAACGUAUGUAUUCUGUUCCCUGGCCUUUAAUCCCUAGACCAUUUCUCUUCACUGGUAUCGUUUAGUGGGUAUGUGGCUUACUCUGUAAUUCCUAUUUUUGAAUUUACAGUGAAUUACAGUGCAAUCCUCAUUGUUUUUUAGAGUGAUUUUCAGUGUAAUUCAUACUGGAUUUCAUUGAUUUUCACUGUAAUCUGUAGUGGAUUUCCAGUGUAAUUUUUUAGUGGAUAGGUAGUAUAUUUGUAGUGUAAAUCCAAAGCAGUUUGUAGUGUGAUCCCCGGUUAUUUUACAGUGUAAUUUCAGUGUAUUUUGUCAGUUGAUUUGCAUUGUAUUUGUUGGUGGAAUAACAAUGUAUAUGUCCUAAUUGCAGUGUACUUUUGUCACUGGGGUUGUACUGUAUUUGUUAGUGGAAUUAAAGUGUAUUUGUCAGUGAUGUACAGUGUAAUUUGAUAGCUGAUUUACAGUGUAAUUGCCAUGGAUUUGCAUUGUAUUCGCUAGUGGAAUUACAGUGUAAUUCACUUGAAUUUUUAUAGUGGUAUUACGUUUUGGAUUUAUAGUGUUUUUGUCAGUGAAUUUACCGUGUAAUUGAUAGCUGGUUUUACAAUGUAAAUUCAUUGUAAUUUACGCUGUAAUUGAGUAGCAGAUGAAUUGUGAGUGUUCUUUUUUUUAUCAGAAUUGUGACUGUUCUUGUGAUGCGUCGCUAGUUUGUAUGUUCUUGUGAUGCAUCUGAUUCCAGUGUAUUUUGUUAGAGGACUUAGACUGUAAUUAUAUUCGGAUUUACACUGUAAUCUUCAUCGGAAUUCCAGUGUAUUUUUCUUAGUGGGUGAUUAGAGUGUAUUUACAAUGUAAUUCUCAGUUGGUUUCCACUGUAAUUCGCGGGGGUUUUCUUCACUAUAAUUCUCAGUGGGUUAUGUAGUGAAAUAAAAGAGAUGUAGAUUGUAAAUGCUAUCAAUGCAUAUCUUCUUUAUAUUUUUGUUAUGUUUUAUCCCUUCUGCCAUUUCAUCUCAGACUUUUUGUCCUUUUCUUUGUGUUUGUACAUAUUUAGGUUAUAGAUUGAAGUAUGGGGAGACUCAUGAAGGCUUUUGGUAAGGGCACUUCUGCUGCUUGUGUUGAAGAUUGUGAUGAUUCAGAUGGGGAUCCUUUUGUCCCCAAUGAUUUUGCGGAAGGUGAUCCUUUUCAAGCUUCGGAGUUAACUGCAGGAAAGUCAAAUGGAUGAUCCUGAUUUCGACAAAGCUUUGUAUGAGUUCUACGUGUCUCGUAAAGUGAAUUGCUUAAAAUGGAAGAUUACAGAUGCUGGAGCUCGCAAUGUGCAGCUGUUGUAAAGCUAAGUCAUCGUUCGCGUGCCUGAAACAAAACAAUGCACAAAGAGACAGAUCAAGAUCCAACAAAAUCGGCACCAUGCUUCGAACAAGCGAGCUCCCGUGCGCCAUCAGGCCACCACUGGCGCAAUUAUGCCUGCUCCGUCAGCCACCGUCCAUCCACAAGCGAUCUCCCGCGCGCCCUCAUGCCGCCGCCAGCGCAAUCAGGCCUGAGAGAGAGAGAGAGGAGGGCGCUCACGUGCCUGGAUCUGGCAGCCGCUGCCGCUGCCGCCGACGACUUUGCUGUUUGUCCGACCGCCGCUCGCCGAUCUGGCGCUGUGGUCGCUGACGAGAGAAACGUUUCUGUUCGACGAGGGGUGAGAACGAGAGAAAAACGAUUCGGUGGGUGAGGCGACGAGAGUGGUUGGCGACGUCUGCGACUUUUCAGCCGUUGGGGAUAGCCACCGUUUCGAGGAAUACUCUGUGAAUCUCGGCUAUCCCCAACCAUCCUCAUCCUCCCUGUCCCCUGAACCAAACGGGUGGCAGCCACCCUAAAACGAGGCUAUCACUGUCCCAUGAGGGCCAUCCCGUGAUCCAAACGUACCCAUUGGUCUCUAUCAGUUCUGGUCCUUUCAGUAGUCAUCAUGCGAAUGUUCUCGCAAACGUAGAAUGCAUAUAAAUCAGUUCCCUGCGCCUGCUUCAGGGCCUUUACGAGAAUAGAAUUCAAUCAGAUAAUAAUUAGUCAAGCAGGAUAAUUAACGAUAUUGAAACUAUAUUUAAAGAAAUGGUAGCUAGCUGGUACUAGCUACUUAAUUAAUUACCUUCGGUCAGAUCCAUUUUAGCUCUUUUUUCCAUUGGCCAUCAACCUGUUUGAUGAACUUUUGCCAAGCCCUGCCCGCCGGCAAGGAAAAUGAAUAAAUGAGUUACUAAUUAGUUGAUAUUAAGAAAUGACGAACUAAAGAGGCCGACAUAUAGUUCGAUAAUGAUUGAAAUUACAUGUUGACCAUACCCUUCACUAUUUCAUAGUCAGUAUCUUUUUAAGUAGUGAGUCCAGUACUUGAACUUUUCCCUCGUCAACUUCAAUGAUUAACAAGAUCCAGUGGUAACUACAUGCGUACAUGUUUUUAUGUAUAAUUAAGCGGGCAUGCAUAACUCAUAAACUACCCUAAACCCUAUACACUUGUUAACAUCUAGUUAGUAAGCAAAAACAUAAUUUGUAGUACAAGACAGUGUGAUUCACCCGAAGUUGUAAGGAAGUAGUAUUUCUGGACAUGCAUUUAGGCGUUUCAAGAACUCUAGCAAGCUUUUCUCUGUGUCUUUUCUCGACCAUUCUUUUGACUAUGUCUCUUGAUUAAUGAUAUUUGGGUCAAUGAACCCGAUGCCAUAGCGUCCAGCUUUGUUCAUUUCAAACAUCUUCAUUCUGCAUAAUACCACAGAAGAGAAUAUAGUGAGGAUAAUUGCAGGUAAUGAAUAGAACGAGCACUACAACCAGCUAGAGAAUUAAAUUAAUUACAGAAAGAAACCACUUACAAACAAUAGCAACUGACGAUAGAUUUGUCGAGUGCGUCUUGAUUGAAUAGCUGAAACAUUUAUUGAAACUCAACGCACAGAUCUUUUUCAUGGUAGUAUUAGCCUUUAGGUACUUUCACCAUGAGGGACUCUCGAUUGAUAGUCUUGGCUUCUUUCAUGUACCAUUCAUGCAAUUGAUGCAUUCUCGUUGAUAGAAGCUUGACCUCCUCAGGCUUCACCAGAGGCUGGCCGCGGACAUAUUUCUGUUUUAUGUCCUCUCAAAUGAGAUCCAUGGGCUCGAUCUCUAGGAGUUGAUAAACAGUGACACCGGCCUCUUCAGCCAUCCUUCUAUGCGCGUCGGUUAUUACCAGCUGAUCGGCGCCGGUACUCGCCUGUGUUGGUAGAAUGAGCAGGGGGGGUCGAUUGCACCGCCUGUUCUCCCAGUUGGGGAAUAGUUUUCCCACUUUUUUGCCAGCUGCUUGGCUGGCGCUCGAACUCGGCUCAUUCUUUUGUGCGCUAUAUGCCUUCUUGAUUUGGCGCUCAUAGUCUGAGUCCCUAUGUGACGCCCGGAGAAUUAGCUACAGUAAUCCCACGCUAAUGAUGCCACGUCACUACGGUUACUGUUGUUAACCUCGCGAUGUUUCGAAACCAACUCAAAAUUCAAAUCCAAAUUAAUGUCAACAAUAAAAGUUUUCAAAAGUUAAAACAAAAAUGUUCGGGAGAUGCCAUAUUUUGCAUAUGUAAAUAUGGUGUAAUAAACACAUUUUUAUAAAAUGCCUAGAUAUUUUAUAGUGGAUGGAAACAACAAAGCAAUAAAUAAAAAGAAAAGUAAAACGAAACAAAACAAACCAAAAAAAAAGGAAAAGAGAAACCCCCUCCCACUAGGCUUCGGCCCAGUAGGCCACCGGCCCAACUGGGCCACGAACCACUAGGGCGGCCCAACCGGCCACCCCCACUCCAUUAUCCCCUCUCCCCCCCGUAACCCUAACCCACACACCAUUUCCCCCACUCACGCCCCCACUCUCCCCCGAUCUAGAUCGGAUCGGGCUCGACACCGCCGCCUCGCCCUCGUCCAUCGCCGCCCGGAGCACGACCUCGCCGGCGCCUCCUCCCCUGCCGGACUGCCUCCACGUCGCCGUCGUCCCCAUCGACCACCCCGACCACCGCUGCCCCGAACCCUACUAACCCGCCGUGAGCCGCGCCCCUCCUCUCUCUCCCUCGCCCCGUGCUCGUCCCCUCCCCUGCUUGCCGCUCGGGGCCGCGUCCCGCGCCCUGCCCCCCCUCGCGCGCGCCCGAGCCUCGCCUCGCUCUGCCGCUCCACUCGCCGCGGCCACCCGCACGCACGGGCGCCCUCCUCCCUGCUCGCUCACCUACGCCCGCUGCUGCCCUGCCUCGCCCGCGCCUUGGUCGCGCUCGCGUGCUCGCUGCGCGCAUCCACGCCUACCGCCGCCGCCCCGUGCGAUGUUGCUGCUGCACUGCGGCCGCCCCCGCCCAAGCACAAUGCCACUCGCCCCGCUCGCCCCCGCAGCCCGCUGCUGCCAUGCUGCUCGUCGGCUCCGCCCCGCCUUGCUCGCGGCAGCGCCCGCCACCGGCCGUUGGUGCCGCGCCCGCCGGAGCCCCGCCUCCACCCGCUGUUGCUUCGGCGACUGCCGCAGCCCGCCCAGUUCCUCCUGCGCCCGUAGUUUCCCCCACUCCCUCGCGCGCCAGCACCGGCAGGAGCUCCCGCCUCGCCGGCUAUCGCCCGCACCCGCGCCCGUGAAGCCAACGCCUGCUAAGGCCCUGGGCCACCGCCCAGUGGGCCCCCCAGCGCCCUAGCUUAAAAAAGAGUUUAAAAAAAUAAUAAAUAAAAAUAUUAAUGAAUGAAUUAAUUAACUUAAUUAAUUUUGUAUUAGAUUAACCUAAUCAUUUAGUUAACUAUUUAACCAUGUUUAAUUAACCUGAGGCUAUGACGAACGGGCCCCACGUGCCACCUGUAGACCUGCUGACAUCAUG